rnacentral:lncRNA from 1 species
AUGCCGGCCUGUGACGGGGGCACACGUCCGCCAGGCCUAGCGGGCGGCCAAGAACCAGUCAGCACGGGGCCGCUGGUGUCCGGGCGCGGCCGGGCGGCCAUUUUGCAGCCGCCCCCAGCCGCGGGCGAGGCCGCCGUUGCCACGGUUACCGGCGAGCGGCGCCCCCGCCCGCCCCCUCUCGCCUCAGCUCGCCCCGCCCCGCGGCCAAUCGGAGGGGCGGCGGCGGCGGAGCCGGGCCGCCUUUGUUCGGCCAUUUCGGGGCCGCGGCACCUUCGGGCGCCCAGCCGCCGAGAGAGAGGACGCGCCGGGACGGGCCGCUCCCUCGCCACUCCCCGCCCCUGCCGCCGGGCUCUGGGAUGGUGUGGGCUGCUGGCGGCGUGGGACGCACCGGGGGACGGCUGACGGCGGCCCGGGCGGGCGGAGGCGUGCCUGGCGCUAGGACCCGGCAGCAGGAGGAGGAGGAGGAGGAGGAGGCGGCGCGGCGGCUCUCGGGGCCGGGUUACCAGCCCGCCGUGACUCAGUGCGCUCGGCUUUGCGGAGGAGCCAGCAGGUCGGUGCCGUCUGUCUGUCCGUCCGUCCGUCCUUCCCUCCCUUUCACCCGGGGGCGGUUNUGUUGGCUACACUUCAGUUGAUGCAUCCCAGGAUACGGUUGGCUUUCUGGGCUGCAGGCGCACACUGCUGGCUCACGUUGAUCUUCUCAUCAACCAACACCACCAGGUCCUUCUCCUCAGGGCUGUUCCUAAUCCAUUCUCCACCCAGCCUGUAUCUGUGCUUGGGAUUGCCCCAACUCAGAUGCAGGACCUUGCACUUGGCCUUGUUGAACUUUAUGAGGAACUUCAUCCUUAUGUUGUAGCUCAGAUGAUUUUAACCCCAUCUAAGUGUCAGGCAAAAUUUCUAUUUUCACUAUCCUCUGCUUAUGAAGUUAAACACUGACAAGUCUUCCUGAUGGUCUUCAAAGAACAGAAGAAACGUUGAUAUUGUAGUAAAAUAUUGUGCCUUAGAGAGAAAAAAAAAAGGGGGGGGGGGGAAGAGGGGACUAAAAGCAGAAAAGCAAUGUUAUAGAAUAUGGGUUUAAUUGGUGUGGAUUGUGGUGUAUGCAGAAGACUUAAGGAAGCCAGAGGUUUCCCUAGGGACAAAAGACACGUUGAGGUUUUGUUUUUUUUUUAUUCAAGGCAGUUUAACACAUCCUACAGUCACAACCAAAGGUAUUCAGGAAGUGUCUGCUGAGGUCUCUACUAAGGAUAGUUGAAAGUUUUCCAGAAAAACUAAUUUUCAACUGAAAAUUAAGUUUUC